rnacentral:rRNA from 1 species
AUGCAGGAAAAUGGUGUGAAUUGUGGUGUUGUAGAGUGGGUUGAUGGGCCUUGGCCUCCUGUUCUUCGAAGAUGUUUGUGCAAGCUAUGGGAAAUGUUCCAUGAGCAGAACUGUGGAAGGGUACUUGACAAGGAGAAGUUUGAGAAGGAGUUGGCCAAGCUUAAGAUUGAACAUGAAAGGGAGUUGGCCAAGCUUAAGACUGAAAAUGACAAGCUUUGCAUUGAGUACACCAAGCUUGUUGAUGAUGUAUCCAAGAUGUUUGAUUGGCAGGAUGGUAGGGUGGACAGGAAGGUGUACCAGAAACAAGUGGAGGAGGAAGAACUUGAGAAGAAGAAGGAGAUAGAGGAGAAAACUAUGUUGGAGUUG